rnacentral:lncRNA from 1 species
UCGGCUCAACUUUGGCUCGGCUUGGCUCGCGGCUGAUGACAUGGCCGGUGGGUCCCACUAUGCUGACAUGGCUGUUGACUAGUCAAUGGCUUGCUGACUGUGUAUGCUGAUGUCAUCCUUGCAUCAUGCUGAUGUCAUCCUUUUGCAUGUCACUGUUCAUGAUAGCGUCACUGUUCAUGCCUACUGUUCACAUGGGUCGGGUCAACUGGUAUUCGGGUCGGG